AGGCUGUGAAGCAGUGGGCUGGUUCGGUGACAGUCGAUUGUGAAGCCAGACCGUGGGUUGUGCGGGAACCACAAGCCAAAUAAGCGGCGGAAAUGCUGCUGAAAGAAAACGCAAAAA
rnacentral:sRNA from 12 species